GAUUAUGGCUCAGAACGAACGCUGGUGGCGUGUCUUAUACAUGCAAGUCGAGCGAGGCAGCAAUGCCGAGCGGCGAACGGGUGAGUAACGCGUAAGCAAUCUGCCCCAUAUCAGGAAAUACCCGUGCCAACGCGCGGUUAAUGUCCAGGAGAGUGGCCCCCUGCAUGGGGGGUUGACUAGAGAUUUAUCGGUAUGGGAUGAGCUUGCGUCCGAUUAGCUAGUUGGCGGGGCAACGGCCCACCAAGGCGACGAUCGGUAGCCGGCCUGAGAGGGUGAUCGGCCACAUUGGGACUGAGAUACGGCCCAGACUCCUACGGGAGGCAGCAGUAGGGAAUAUUGCACAAUGGGGGAAACCCUGAUGCAGCAACGCCACGUGUGGGAAGAAGCAUUUCGGUGUGUAAACCACUGUCAUGAGGGAAUAAGGCCCGCCUUCGGACGGGAUUGAAUGUACCUUGAGAGGAAGCACCGGCAAACUUCGUGCCAGCAGCGGC
rnacentral:rRNA from 1 species